GAAUCACUUGAACCCAUGAGGUAGAGGCUGCAGUGAGCCGAUAUCGUGCCACUGCACUCCAGCCUGGGUGACAAGAGUGAGACU
ensembl:miRNA